GGGAUUGUGGCUCAGUGGUAGAGCACUCGCCUAGCAUGUGUGAGGCCCUGGGUUUGAUCCUCAGCACCA
rnacentral:tRNA from 1 species